rnacentral:tRNA from 1 species
GCGGAAAUGGCGGAAUUGGUAGACGCACCAGAUUUAGGUUCUGGCGCCGCAAGGUGUGAGAGUUCAAAUCUCUCUUUCCGCACCA